rnacentral:rRNA from 1 species
UACAGAGGUCUCAAGCGUUGUUCGGAUUCAUUGGGCGUAAAGGGUGCGUAGGUGGCGCGCUAAGUCAGGUGUGAAAUCUCGGGCUUAACUCCGAAACUGCAUUUGAUACUGGCGUGCUCGAGGACUGGAGAGGAGACUGGAAUUCAUGGUGUAGCAGUGAAAUGCGUAGAGAUCAUGAGGAAGACCAGUGGCGAAGGCGGGUCUCUGGACAGUUCCUGACACUGAGGCACGAAGGCCAGGGGAGCAAACGGG